GGCACCACUUUGCCACCUUGAGAAGCUAGCCUGAGAACAAAGUGCCCACAGAGGAGGACAGAGCUGAGAGUAUCUCUACAAAAAGGAGCCAGAGCUUAAUCUAUAUCUGUACUUCCAGGUUCUGCUGGCCAGCAGGCUUUGGCCAUGGAGAUGCUGGGAUUUUCAGCAGGGCAUUCCAAUGGUGAAGGCAGAACCCAGAGGAAGACAAAGGAGUCAGUGUUUAGCUUUUGUACUCAAUAGGAGCCUCUUCAGGAAGGAAGAAGAGGAAGCCUCUUCAGUACAAGAAUUACAGAAGAUAAGGAUUCUGUGCUUGCCAGAGCUGGGCUUUGUUGAGACAUGAAAAGGCUUUCAAAAUUUCCCAAAGUUUCCCUUACAUUACUGGGAAGGCUCAAUGUGUCCCACUCGAAGUCAUGGUGUGGGGCAUAUGGGUUACGUCCCAUGGUGGGGUUGGUAGGGGCAAUGGGAAAGGAGCUAUGGGCGGGGGAAGGGACACUGAAGAGUUCAGAUGUGCUCCCUGGUUUCCCCCUUGAUCAAAAUCCUGGGGGUGGGGCUGUAUAGACCUGACAGGAUAGGUUUGGAAACUCCAGAGAAGAUGGGGGCUUGUUGCUGCCCUCUGGGGGAGGGGGAGGGGACGGAACUCUCCUUGGAGAGUGCCCUGCACCACAGGGAGAGGUCAUGAUAAAGUCGAAAUAACGGUGAGGCUCAGCUAUGCUGAAAGGCCCUGAGAUAUCCCUGCCCGGCUCUGCUCCAGCCUCCCACGGGCCCCUGGAGGGCUUGGAGGAGAUCCAGGAACAUGCCAGUGGCCCCUGGAGAGUGGCAGGGAGGGGACUGAGAGGCAACGUGCCAGCCAGGGCGUCUCCAUGAUGGUGGACAAGGGGACUUCCUGACAUCAUCCCGGUUAGGAGCUGAGGAGGGGAAGCACAGUAUCAGGGGCCACGUUGAGGGAAGGGGUAAAUGUCUCCCGAGGGUCUGCAGCCCCCAGGACUGCUCAGAUGGCCACUCAGCCCCCCAGUGGCAGGGCCUGGCUCAGCCUGGGAGGGACUGAGAUUGGGCUUAGUGGCCGUUUCCCACUCACCGGUCUGGCAUCUCUUACUUGCUUCCAGAUGACCUCCCCUCAGCACACUCCUUUCUGGUCAGUGCCAGUUCCCGGUAAUGGCGGAUAUGGAGAGUAGCCUGAGAGCCUGUCAGUUCUUUCCUCGGCACCAGGGCAAGUUAAUGGGUUAAACCUGGCCAUUCACGGCCCCAGGGCCAGCUGGAGAGUGGGCGGCCCCAGUGCUGUCAGGGGAGGCCCCAGUAUUGCUCAGCUUUUCCUCUCUGAUCAAAAUAACAAAUUCUUUCUUCGCUGCCUGAGACUUGGGAGUGGGGAGCACUGCUGAGGCGGUGAACAGGUGACUUGCGGAGUCCCAAGACUCCAGUCUGAUGAAGAGAAACAAAGCAAUCUGAGCAUCAUGCCAGUUUUUCAAGACCCAGUAUUCUGGCACCAAUCUGCAAGCUGGAUCAGACAGAAGGCAAUUUCUGGAAGAGAGAAAUAAGCAUCUGGACAAUUUUUAUAAACACCCCUUUGGCACCAGGAUGGUGUGCUUGCUGCUGACGUGUUUUGGCCAGUAUAUGAACAGUCUA